rnacentral:rRNA from 1 species
GAUGAACGCUGGCGGCGUGCCUAAUACAUGCAAGUCGAGCGAAUGGAUUAAGAGCUUGCUCCUAUGAAGUUAGCGGCGGACGGGUGAGUAACACGUGGGUAACCUGCCCAUAAGACUGGGAUAACUCCGGGAAACCGGGGCUAAUACCGGAUAAUAUUUUGAACUGCAUGGUUCAAAAUUGAAAGGCGGCUUCGGCUGUCACUUAUGGAUGGACCCGCGUCGCAUUAGCUAGUUGGUGAGGUAACGGCUCACCAAGGCAACGAUGCGUAGCCGACCUGAGAGGGUGAUCGGCCACACUGGGACUGAGACACGGCCCAGACUCCUACGGGAGGCAGCAGUAGGGAAUCUUCCGCAAUGGACGAAAGUCUGACGGAGCAACGCCGCGUGAGUGAUGAAGGCUUUCGGGUCGUAAAACUCUGUUGUUAGGGAAGAGCAAGUGCUAGUUGAAUAAGCUGGCACCUUGACGGUACCUAACCAGAAAGCCACGGCUAACUACGUGCCAGCAGCCGCCGUAA